UACGUAGGGGGCAAGCGUUGUCCGGAAUCAUUGGGCGUAAAGCGCGUGUAGGCGGUCCGGUAAGUCCGCUGUGAAAGUCGGGGGCUUAACCCUCGGAUGCCGGUGGAUACUGUCGGGCUUGAGUACGGAAGAGGCGAGUGGAAUUCCUGGUGUAGCGGGUGAAAUGCGCAGAUAUCAGGAGGAACACCAAUUGCGAAAGGCAGCUCGCUGGGACGUUACUGACGCUGAGACGCGAAAGCGUGGGGAGCAAACAGG
rnacentral:rRNA from 1 species